rnacentral:ribozyme from 1 species
CAAGUGCGGAUGUAUCUUUUUUUUUUAAUGUUUUGUUUUCCAACACAAGCAAAGCGACACUUCCCGUUUCUCCUCCGCCGUCGAUUCCCACACACUCCAGGUUUC